CGCGUGAACGACGAAGUACUUCGGUAUGUAAAGUUCUUUUAUCAGGGAAGAAUGGCUUACGGAAAAGUGAGCGUGACGGUACCUGAUGAAUAAGCCCCGGCUAACUAUGUGCCGGCAGCCGCGGUAAUACAUAGGGGGCAAGCGUUAUCCGGAAUUAUUGGGCGUAAAGGGUGCGUAGGUGGCCGUUUAAGUCUUUGGUGUAAGUGCAAGGCUCAACCUUGUGAUGCUAAAGAAACUGAAUGGCUUGAGUGUGGUAGAGGCAAGUGGAAUUCCAUGUGUAGCGGUAAAAUGCGUAAAUAUAUGGAGGAACACCGGUGGCGAAGGCGGCUUGCUGGGCCACAACUGACACUGAGGCACGAAAGCGUGGGGAGCAAACAGGAUUAGAUACCCUGGUAGUCCACGCCGUAAACGAUGAGUACUAAGUGUAGGGGAAACUCUGUGCUGUAGUUAACGCAAUAAGUACUCCGCCUGAGUAGUACGUACGCAAGUAUGAAACUCAAAGGAAUUGACGG
rnacentral:rRNA from 1 species